GACUCGGUAGCUCACCGGAUAGAGCGCUGUGUUUCGACGCGGGUCAUGAAUGGGUUCGACUCCCAUCCGAGAUA
rnacentral:tRNA from 1 species